rnacentral:misc_RNA from 1 species
GAUGAAGAACGCAGUAAAAUGCGAUAAGUAAUGUGAAUUGCAGAAUUCAGUGAAUCAUCGAAUCUUUGAACGCACAUUGCGCCCGCUGGUAUUCCGGCGGGCAUGCCUGUUCGAGCGUCAUUUCAACCCUCAAGCCCCCCGGGUUUGGUGUUGGGGAUCGGCUCUGCCUCACGGCGGUGCCGCCCCCGAAAUACAUUGGCGGUCUCGCUGCAGCCUCCAUUGCGUAGUAGCUAACACCUCGCAACUGGAACGCGGCGCGGCCAUGCCGUAAAACCCCAACUUCUGAAUGUUGACCUCGGAUCAGGUAGGAAUACCCGCUGAACUUAAGCAUAUCAAUAAGCGGAGGA